UACAGAGGGUGCGAGCGUUAAUCGGAAUUACUGGGCGUAAAGGGCGCGUAGGCGGUGAAUUAAGUUAGAUGUGAAAUCCCUGGGCUUAACCUAGGAACUGCAUCUAAUACUGAUUUGCUGGAGUGCAGUAGAGGGUAGUGGAAUUUCCGGUGUAGCGGUGAAAUGCGUAGAUAUCGGAAGGAACACCAGUGGCGAAGGCGGCUACCUGGACUGACACUGACGCUGAGGCGCGAGAGCGUGGGGAGCAAACAGG
rnacentral:rRNA from 1 species